rnacentral:tRNA from 1 species
GGGCUUGUAACUCAGUGGUAGAGUGUUCCUUUGAUAAGGGAAAAGUCAGUAGUUCGAUCCUACUCAAGCCCA